rnacentral:lncRNA from 1 species
CCAGCUCAUCAACACUACAAAUCUAAAGCUGAAAGCUCAGGGUACGGUAAUGACAGAUGGAAACUUCAUUACAGAAAGCAAUGAAGAACACCCAAGUGGUAAAUAUGUGGGUAAAUAUGGAAUAUCAGAUAUCUAUUUUUAUCUUACUUUAAAAAAAGAAAACUGUUUUUCAAUAGCAAAAUAACAGCUAGUGCUUAUUGAGAUAUUUCAAUGUUAUUAUGUCAUUUCACACACAUUAAUCCACUUAAUUCUCAUAAUAAACCUCUUUUAUAGAACAUUAUCUCAACAGCUGCAAAAUAUGCAUUCUUCUUUUUGUUUUUUUUAAAAACAAGGUCUUGCUCUGUUGCCUAGGCUAGAUUGCAGUGGCAUGAUGAUUGCUCACUGCAGUCUCAAACUCCUGGGCUCAAGCAAUCCUCCUGCCUCAGCCUCCCAAGUAGCUAGGAAUACAGGUGCGUACCACCAUGCCAGACAAUUUUUAUUUUUUGUAGAGAUGAGGUCUCACCAUGUUGCCCACAUUAUUCUUAAAAGCAUAUGGAAUGUUCACCAAAAUGUAUCAUAUCCUGAGCCAUGAAACAAGUCUGAAUACAUUUCUAGUAAUAAAAUCUUACAGAGUAUUUUUUCAGACUUUAACAGAAUCAAAAUAGAAAUCAGUAACAAGAAAACUUCUUUAUUCUUUUUAUUUUAUUUUAAGUUCUGGGAUACAUGUGCAGGACGUGCAAGUUUGUUAAUAGGUAAAUGUGUGCUAUGGUGGUUUGCUGCACCUGUCAACCCCUCAUCUAGGUAUUAAGCCCAGCAUGCAUUAACUAUUUUUCCUGGGGCUCUCUCUGGCCCUGCAACCGCCGGCAGGCCCCAUUGUGUGUUGUUCCCCUCCCUGUGUCCAUGUGCUCUCAUUGUUCAGCUCCCACUUAUAAGUGAGAACAUGUAGUGAAAACUUCUUUAUUCUCAUCAAAAAUUUCAGUAAGAUGUAUCUGCUAUGAGUUUCUCCUCACAACUUCUGCUAGGGUUUCAGUGGACUUGUGUUCUCUAUUUUCUUUGUCUCUUAACCUUU